rnacentral:rRNA from 1 species
GACGAACGCUGGCGGCGUGCUUAACACAUGCAAGUCGAACGGAAAGGCCCUGCUUGCAGGGUACUCGAGUGGCGAACGGGUGAGUAACACGUGGGUGAUCUGCCCUGCACUUCGGGAUAAGCCUGGGAAACUGGGUCUAAUACCGGAUAUGACCUUCCAUGUAGUGUGGGGGGUGGAAAGAUUUAUCGGUGUGGGAUGAGCCCGCGGCCUAUCAGCUUGUUGGUGGGGUAACGGCCUACCAAGGCGUCGACGGGUAGCCGGCCUGAGAGGGUGGACGGCCACAUUGGGACUGAGAUACGGCCCAGACUCCUACGGGAGGCAGCAGUGGGGAAUAUUGCACAAUGGGCGGAAGCCUUAUGCAGCGACGCCGCGUGGGGGAUGACGGCCUUCGGGUUGUAAACCUCUUUCGACAGGGACGAAGCUUCGGUGACGGUACCUGUAUAAGAAGCACCGGCUAACUACGUG